rnacentral:rRNA from 1 species
GGGGAAUCUUGCACAAUGGGCGAAAGCCUGAUGCAGCAAUGCCGCGUGAGUGAUGAAGGCCUUCGGGUUGUAAAUCUCUGUCGGUUGGGACAAAUGGUAUUCACCUAAUACGUGAAUGCAUGAUGGUACCAGCAAAGGAAGAGGCGGCUAACUCUGUGCCAGCAGCCGCGGUAAUACAGAGGCCUCGAGCGUUGUUCGGAAUUACUGGGCGUAAAGGGAAUGUAGGUGGUCAUGUAAGUCAGAUGUGAAAGCCCUGGGCUUAACCUGGGAAGUGCAUUUGAUACUGCGUGGCUGGAGUGCGAGAGAGGAAAGCGGAAUUCCAGGUGUAGGAGUGAAAUCCGUAGAUAUCUGGAGGAAUACCGAUGGUGAAGACAGCUUUCUGGCCCGUAACUGACACUGAGAUUCGAAAGCUUGGGUAGCAAACA